UCUUCUCGCUCCGGGCCCAUGAAAUGUGGGGGUUUCUAUGUUGAAACUAUACCUGGCAUCUGGUUC
rnacentral:tRNA from 1 species